AGGAUGAACGCUGGCGGUCUGCUUAACACAUGCAAGUCGAACGGAGUAGCAAUACUUAGUGGCGGACGGGUGAGUAACGCGUGAGAAUCUACCUUCAGGACGGAGACAACAGUUGGAAACGACUGCUAACCCCCGAUGUACCGAAAGGGCAAAUAUUUAUAGCCUGAAGAAGAGCUCGCGUCCGAUUAGCUAGUUGGAGAGGUAAAAGCUCACCAAGGCGACGAUCGGUAGCUGGUCUGAGAGGACGAUCAGCCACACUGGGACUGAGACACGGCCCAGACUCCUACGGGAGGCAGCAGUGGGAAUUUCCGCAAUGGGCGAAAGCCUGACGGAGCAAGACCGCGUGGGGGAAGAAGGCUCUUGGGUUGUAAACCCCUUUUCUCUGGGAAGAACGCAAUGACGGUACCAGAGGAAUCAGCAUCGGCUAACUCCGCCCAGCAGCCGC
rnacentral:rRNA from 1 species